AUUGAACGCUGGCGGCAUGCUUUACACAUGCAAGUCGAGCGGCAGCGCGGGGGCAACCCUGGCGGCGAGCGGCGAACGGGUGGGUAAUGCAUCGGAACGUAUCCUCGAGUGGGGGAUAACCCAGCGAAAGUUGGGCUAAUACCGCAUGAGCUCUGAGGAGGAAAGCGGGGGACCUGCGAGGGCUCCGCGCUGGAGGGGCGGCCGAUGUCCGAUUAGCUAGUUGGUGGGGUAAAGGCUUACCAAGGCGACGAUCGGUAGCUGGUCUGAGAGGAUGAUCAGCCACACUGGGACUGAGACACGGUCCAGACUCCUACGGGAGGCAGCAGUGGGGAAUUUUGGACAAUGGGGGCAACCCUGAUCCAGCCAUGCCGCGUGAGUGAAGAAGGCCUUCGGGUUGUAAAGCUCUUUCGGACGGAACGAAAUGGGCGGGGCUAAUACUCCUGUCUGAUGACGGUACCGUAAGAAGAAGCACCGGCUAACUACGUG
rnacentral:rRNA from 1 species